CAAUAGCGUAUAUUAAAGUUGUUGCAGUUAAAAAGCUCGUAGUUGAACUUCAGACCUGGCCGGGCGGUCUGCCUAACGGUAUGUACUGUCUGGCUGGGUCUUACCUCUUGGUGAGCCGGCAUGCCCUUCACUGGGUGUGUCGGGGAACCAGGACUUUUACCUUGAGAAAAUUAGAGUGUUCAAAGCAGGCCUAUGCCUGAAUACAUUAGCAUGGAAUAAUAAAAUAGGACGUGCGGUUCUAUUUUGUUGGUUUCUAGAGUCGCCGUAAUGAUUAAUAGGGAUAGUUGGGGGCAUUAGUAUUCAGUUGCUAGAGGUGAAGUUCUUGGAUUUACUGAAGACUAACUACUGCGAAAGCAUUUGCCAAGGAUGUUUUCAUUAA
rnacentral:rRNA from 1 species